rnacentral:rRNA from 1 species
GAUGAACGCUGGCGGCGUGCCUAAUACAUGCCAGUCGAGCGAACGGACGAGAAGCUUGCUUCUCUGAUGUUAGCGGCGGACGGGUGAGUAACACGUGGAUAACCUACCUAUAAGACUGGGAUAACUUCGGGAAACCGGAGCUAAUACCGGAUAAUAUUUUGAACCGCAUGGUUCAAAAGUGAAAGACGGUCCUGCUGUCACUUAUAGAUGGAUCCGCGCUGCAUUAGCUAGUUGGUAAGGUAACGGCUUACCAAGGCAACGAUGCAUAGCCGACCUGAGAGGGUGAUCGGCCACACUGGAACUGAGACACGGUCCAGACUCCUACGGGAGGCAGCAGUAGGGAAUCUUCCGCAAUGGGCGAAAGCCUGACGGAGCAACGCCGCGUGAGUGAUGAAAGUCUUCGGAUCGUAAAACUCUGUUAUUAGGGAAGAACAUAUGUGUAAGUAACUGUGCACAUCUUGACGGUACCUAAUCAGAAAGCCACGGCUAACUACGUG